rnacentral:tRNA from 2 species
GCGCCCGUAGCUCAACCGGAUAGAGUAACUGACUACGAAUCAGGAGGUUGGAGGUUCGAGUCCUCCCGGGCGCGCCA